rnacentral:tRNA from 1 species
GCAUCAUUGGUCUAGUGGUAGAAUUCAUCGUUGCCAAAUCGUGAGUCGAAUUUCGAUUCCCUGAUAUAGUAACUCGAUGAGGCCCGUGUUCGAUUCACGGAUGAUGCA